CUACGGAGGGUGCAAGCGUUAUUGGGAAUCACUGGGCGUAAAGGACGCGUAGGCGGGUUGGCAAGUCAGAUGAGAAAUCCUACAGCUUAACUGUAGAACUGCAUUUGAAACUGCUAACCUAGAGUAUGGGAGGGGGAGAUGGAAUUAGUGGUGUAGGGGUAAAAUCCGUAGAUAUCACUAGGAAUACCGAAAGCGAAGGCGAUCUCCUGGAACAUAACUGACGCUAAGGCGUGAAAGCGUGGGGAGCAAACAGGAUUAGAAACCCCAGUAGUCC
rnacentral:rRNA from 1 species